UUUGUUAACUUAACCUUGACUACUAGUGUAUAUAAAGCUUCUUCCAAAUCAUUUGGUUGUCUGAUAUCAAUUUUUAUUCAAGUUAAAUUCCUCAUAACGUAUACAGUUUCACUAUGAAUUUCAUUGCUUUAUAUUCCAAAUUAAUCUGGCUGGGCAUUAUAAUUUGUGCCGCUAAGAAUUGCACAAAGAGAGCCGAUUGUGAUCAGGGUGAUUUUUGUUCUGAUAAUGGCAAAUGUACAGAAAUCCUCUUCAUUGGUCGGGGAAGAUAAUUAAAUAACUCUUUUAACUCAAGCUUGCAAUUUUCACAGCAAAAAUAAUCGUUUUCUUCAAUGUUUAAGAACCUGUUUUCGGAAAUUUUAAGCUUGGAAAUAAUUGUAUCAUGUCCUCCUAUCUUACAAGAUAAUUACUAUUGUUAGAUGAAUAAAAAAUACUUUGAAUAAAUCUUA